UAAUGGUAAGGUACGUCACGUGAUAAGCACAUGGCAUGUGAGAAAAGGGUAGCGGUCAAGCACAUGGAGUGCGAGAAAGCUUGUUGUUUUCUGUGUUUAUUGGUAGCUAGAAUUCCCAAAUAGUUCGAAAACCGCCAUUCACCAACGCAACGUAUGAACACAGUGGUUCGUUGAUUGUACAAAGUUAUGCAAUAAAGUUUGGUAAGAUGAACAAGCAGGCGCGUUUCGUCUAAUGAUUUCCGUAGCUACCACCCGCUCCUGGGGUCAGGAGUAACAGUGGCAGAGUGCAAGAGAUUAGCUGUAGAUAUGGUCUGGGGGCCGGCUAGUCUCUCCCUGAUGCUUCGGCUAGAACACUAUCCUGCGUAAUCCGUACACCCAAGGGCAGAGGGACUUAAUCGCCGUCAUGUCCGAAGUCCAUACGAUGACCCAGCGGAUGUCUUGGGGUAUGGCAUGAAGGCACUAGUUUCUUUUUCUUCUGUAUCUUGGAAUUAAUUAUCUAGCUGAUUAAAGUUUAUGGACCGUACUUAAA